ACAGGGGGGGCAAGCGUUGUUCGGAAUUACUGGGCGUAAAGGGUUCGUAGGUGGCCAACUAAGUCAGACGUGAAAUCCCUCAGCUUAACUGGGGAACUGCGUCUGAUACUGGUUGGCUUGAGUGCAGGAGAGGAACGCGGAAUUCCAGGUGUAGCGGUGAAAUGCGUAGAUAUCUGGAGGAACACCGGUGGCGAAGGCGGCGUUCUGGACUGCAACUGACACUGAGGAACGAAAGCCAGGGGAGCAAACGGGAUUAGAUACCCCGGUAGUCCUGGCCCUAAACGAUGAAUGCUUGGUGUGGCGGGUAUCGAUCCCUGCCGUGCCGAAGUUAACGCGAUAAGCAUUCCGCCUGGGGAGUACGGUCGCAAGGCUG
rnacentral:rRNA from 1 species